UUGCCAGGUGGCUGAAUGCAGCUUCCAUCCUGCACAGGAUGCAGGAGCUCAGGAAUGCAGGAUGGGGCUGUGGGAAUUACCAGCUCCUGUAGAGAGUUAUGGGAGAUAAGUGGGAAUUGGGGUCAUCUGAGCUGGCUUUAUAAACCUGAAGGCUUGGGACAGUCCUCUUUCCUGCUGGCAACUUCCAUGACUUACAGCAGCAUCUCAUUUCAAUGGUCAGUGGAAGGAUCACCUCUCUUUUUCCAGGCUACCUAGGCUAUCUUAGGGCUCCAUAAAUGCCAGACAGUAGCAGGAGACUGAGAUCACAGAAGGCAUAUAAAGCCUAAAUUCUUCUGUGGCUGAGGAAGGUAGGACCCCAAACGCAUUUAGGAGUGUUGUGACUCCAGCUGAUCUGCCAUGAACCACUUUAUUUCCAUAGGGUUCAGAGAAUUCCUGCCAUGUGACUGCUCAUUACUUCCGUGAGCCAGCACAAAGUUAAUUAGUGGCAUGUGGAUCUUCCAGCCAACUUCUAGACCUGCCUAGGAGUGCACAGCAGAACUGUACAAGAUGGGGCCAAGCUGAGCUGAUGAGACCCAUAGUUUGUUCAGGAUCAGGAAAAACAUCUGACUCCUUGAGAGCCAUUCCCCUGGUGAAUAUGGAACAACACAAGCAAAAGAUCUUGUGUUAUUCUGUGGCUGGCACCAGGAUUACUCUCUUGGAUGUAAUACCCAGGAUGUGGAGACAUGAGAAAGCUGUUCAACCAUGUAUUGGUUUGGCAGGUCACUGUGCUUCUCAGGAAUGCAAAUAAGAGAAAGCCUUAGCAAGUGGAAAGCAUGGUAUGAUGCUUGUCAUGAGGAAUCUUCCCAAACUAGUGCCAUUGUUACGCAGCUGUCUGUCCUUCUCAGUCCAAGCACAAUCAUGUCUUGGAGAAGCUGCUUUCCAGGCUUCAGACUGUGAGCAGAGCUCAUCUGACUCCUCCAUGGGAAACAAACACGCUGCAGAGCUGGAUGUUGUUUUACAGGAGAGGUGCCCCACAUCUGGUACAACCUCAUGGACACCAAGUUUAAUAAAUCAAGAGCAGGAUCAAGACAAUCAUCCAGAUGCUGUAUUGGGUGGGACUGUCAGCUGGGAUAAUUUUGGAUCCAGAAGCAGGUUCAUGUCCCAGCAAAUAAAAGAGGUAUGGGUUUAGUUGGAGUUAAAGCCAGCUUGAAUAUCUGUCAACUGCUCCCUCAGUGGAAUGUUUUGGUGUUAGAAGCUAUCUAGAAGAGGGUGAGAAUAUUGUCCACCUUUGCAUUUUGUGUAAUAAAAUGAUCCCUGGUCAGCUGCCCGGUCAGUUAAGAAUAAUGCAUCCACCACUUUGCAUGAUUAAUCAGAUGUCAGGAUGUAUGCUCCCUCCCAGCAUAUCAUCCCAUGGCAGCCAGCAGCGCGUUUACAAAUGUAGAAAGAAAGAAAAAAAAAAGCAAUAAUAGGAAAAAGAAUUAUUUUUAUGUGUACUUGUCUGAAGACAUAUUUUUCCAUUCAGUAAUUUGAAAAAAAUAACCAUCUGGAAAAAAUCAUAUUAUGGACAAGGCAUGUCAUGACAUUUACAGCAAAUAUUUUUGCUGCUAGUAUCAAAACCAGCCCUUUGCUCUAUCAAGGGCUGAAUAUUCAUAUACACAUAAAUGUUCAGUAAAUAAAAGGGCCUCUGUAGAAACUCCUUGCUGGGCAAUCCUGCGCUCCCAGAGUUCACAUUCUCAUUUGUUUAUACUUUUUUCAAACCCCUAUUUUUUGCAUCUCAGAUGUAAGUGCCUGUAGUUCCUUUCCUUUGCCCUUUUGGUCUCAGGAGGAUGACAAUAAAAGGCACUUCUGUGGAAAAAGUCCUGAUGUAAGUAAAGGUAUCAGGAGGUUAUGAGGUCAUGAGCAUAAAUGAGGCAAAUUUUCCAAAGAAAUUAUCAAGAAAAUUUAUAAUCGUAGGCAGUCUUGUUGAGCCAGAAGAAGAAAUUAAAUGUGUGCAUCGUGUGCCAGGUUUUGAGAGGG